rnacentral:tRNA from 1 species
UCGGGCAUCGUCUAAUGGUAGGACGUCAGGUUCUGGCCCUGAAAGUCGAGGUUCGAAUCCUUGUGCCCGAGCCA